AUUUGUUCUACAUUUUAAUUCAAAGUCAGGCAUUUAAUAUUGAUUAAUUUUCGCAGCCCUCACACUUUGCGGCGAGCUUGUGACUCUGCUUAAUAGCUUUCGGCACAGUGUGUGUGUGGUUGUGCGAUGGAGCGAUGGAAGAGAUACUCGAUUUCAGGCGAAACGCACCGUAAAUAAAUAUAAACAUAAAUCAGGAAGGAAGCAGAAGAACUGGCAGAGAGAUAAGAAGUGUUUCGUCUCGUUUUCGCACUUUUACAACUCGGGGCCAUCGAACGAGCUCCGGAGAAGAAGCAGUCAGGAAAACGGUCCGGAGAGGAAGGACACAAAGCGACGCAGUGAGCAGUGAUAUAUCCAGGGAAUGGGGAAUGGAGAAAGGGACAUAAUCAUGAAACAUGCCAACUUGACGUCAUCGCAAUUUAAAGCUGAACUUGUGCCGAGCAACGCACUCGAUACAGUAGAUAUCGCCAAACAGGCCCCCAAAGUGUCGAAAUCAAAUCAAACCACCUGAGACUGAGACUGAGUCGAGGGAGAACCCAGCACAUUUCCAAUCCCAACGCAAUCGGACCCGAGACCCACCCAACUCUCAAGAUGGUCCUCGACCAACUUGAAGAAAUCCAAUGACAUACAAGGUUUGAUUUUGGCUUAGGAACAGUGGGAUAAUCACAUGGAAAUGAUUAGAAAAUAUUUGAAAAACGGAAAUGGAAAUUAUUAGACAUUAAAAUUUCUUCGUAUAUUGAACCUUUGGAACAUCUAAAUUCAAGAAUGUUGCUCAACACUUGCCUAGCAACAUUUGUCUCUAUUGAGGUGAUUCGCAAUAUGUUCCUAGCAAUUGUCAACAUUUGUCUUCACAUAUCAACAUUUUCUUCUGCCUUCGAUUUGUUUAGUUUAUGUUUUUCAUAAAUUUAAUUAGAAUCAAACAAUGUGAGCCACUUCCAUGUUCCGAUUAAUUUCAUCCACACUGUAUCGAGUAUAACUUUAAAAGCAGUAUUAAAAAUACCCCAUUUUGUUUGAUAUUUUCAAUGGCAGCUAACAUACCUAUGUAAAAGUCCCUUCCCGAACUCUUUCUACUCAAGAUAAAUGCUUUCUUCGUUCGCCCCACUGUGCCUUGAAGGUUCAGCUCGGCGUAGGAGAAGCUGAAAGCACACACCACAAUGAAAUGAGUGAUUUAUUGGCUGCGGCAAUGAAUUGAAGCUGAUGGCUAAGGACAGAGAUGUGGAGCGUGAGCGGCAGUGAAAGAGGCAUGUGUCUAGAAGCGAGUGAAUAAGAUGUGUCAGAGCUGACUAAGUGCCAGACUGACGCCAUGGCAUCCGAACAUGAAGUGGGUAAAGGGAAGGAAACGUCCAAACGCUAAAUGUGCAAAGUGGUUUGGAAAAAAGGAUCCCGAGCCCAGGCCCGAAGGCGAUCCGAAGAACAAAGUCGAUAAGCGCGAAAUAAAAGCAAAAUGUCGUGAGAGGACACUGAUAUAUCACACGCAACAUUAAAUCAAACCUGAGCAAUGGCUGAACUCGCAGGAUAGCAGACCGGAAAGGGAACUGUCACUUUGACAAUUUACUGGCAAAGACGCCGAGGGAACGAAGCAGGACGGGUGAAGGAAAGCAUCCCUAUAGUUGAUUCCCACUUAUCUGAUGGAUUCCUUGCUGCUGCCCCCUCACAUGUUCUGAAACAGUAACGAACUUUCCGGGUUUCAGUCUCUCUCUCUUUACUGUACGGUUUUGAAAGCUCAGCAAUCCUGCGGGGUGUUGGGUUGCAAAAGGGAGCAUCGCACCCCCGAAAGAGUGAACGAGAGGAUGAAUAAUAUUUAUGAGGAUGAAAUGUUCCCAAAUGCGACAUAAAUAUGUCCACAGCACCCGCACAUGAGAAGAGUGCCAGCCAGAAGUGCGUUGAAAUGCCAAGGACCAUCAGGGUUGGCCGACCAUCAUCUGUGGGAGGUGAAUUUACCGGGAGGUCCUCGAAACGAAAUGGGAAAUUAUAAAGGUUUCUUGGCGAGCUCAGCUAAAGUAAAUGGUCCUUCCAUGAGUAUGAGGAGGUUCACAUGUGCGGUAAUUAAG